AAUGAACGUUGGCGGCGUGGAUUAGGCAUGCAAGUCGUACGCACAGCUUCGGCUGUGAGUGGCGCAAGGGUGAGUAAUGCGAAGGUAACCAACCCUGGUGUUGGGCAUAACCGCGGGAAACUGCGGGUAAUUCCCAGCGACGUCGCGAGAUGGCAUCAUCUUGCGACCAAAGGUGUGAUUCCGCUCUAGGACGGGCCUUCGUGGUAUUAGGUAGUUGGUGAGGUAACGGCUCACCAAGCCGACGAUGCCUACCGGGUGUGAGAGCAUGACCCGGCACACUGGAACUGAGACACUGUCCAGACACCUACGGGUGGCUGCAGUCGAGAAUCUUCGGCAAUGGGCGAAAGCCUGACCGAGCGACGCCGCGUGAGGGGAAGAAGGCCUUCGGGUUGUAAACUUCUUUACUUACGCGAAUAGAGGUUAGUACGAGAUACUAAUAGGAAGGUAGUGUAGUAAAAGAACCGGCUAACUCCGUG
rnacentral:rRNA from 1 species